rnacentral:lncRNA from 1 species
ACAAGAAGUUGUAAAGAGCAGACUUUGUGUCUUCCAGCCUUCACGUUUCUCCUGUGCUGGAUGCUUCCUGCCCUUGAACAUCAGACUCCAAGUUCUUCAGCUUUUGGACUAUGGACUUAUGCCAGUGAUUUGUCAGGGGCUCUGGGGCCUUUGGCCACAGUCUGAAGGCUGUACUUUCAGCUUCCCUACUUUUGAGCGUUUGGGUCUCAGACUGGCUCCUCAGCUUGCAGAUGGCCUAUUGUGGGACUUCACCUUGUGAUCAUGGUCUCCCUCUGUUGCCCAGGCUGGAGGACAGUGGUAUAAUCAUAGCUAACUGCAGCUUUGAACUCCUGAGAACAGCAAUCCUCCUUCCUCGGUCUUCCGCAGCAUUGGGAUUACAGGUCCUGAAGAAAAUGAAGUUGAUGUUUCAGUGAGACACCUGUAUGCCAGAGAGUAAAAGGGAUUAUUGUGGAUUCCUGAGAAUUUUCUACAUAUGAAAUCAUGUCAUCUAUGAACAGAGAUGGGACUGUCUCGUUGGAGGAAAACAAGCUCAGGGCUCCCACUGAUUCCACAUUAUGUUGCAAGCUCCUACGAAGCUCCCACUCAAAAAGAAAAAAAAAACAAAACCUGAAAUCUGAGUGAGUCUCUACUCUUUCCUUAGUAAACUAAAAGAACAGCCAUUGUUACAGUUUCUUUGUGACACAGGCCUCAGGCAGAGCGGAACAAUGACCAAUAUUCCUCAGCACAACAAUAGUACAUCAUUGUGCUUAGAGGACAAGACCAAAUCCUCCCUAACAGAGAGAAUAUUCUUUCUCCAAUAUGCCAUUUUGCUGCAGAGAGAAAGUAAGGUAUUAGACAGAGGUGCUAAGUUAAUAGACUACUAAGUAAGAAAGCCUGCUGAUCUGCUCUUGAAUAAGAAAGCGUUGGAUUAGAAUUUGGUUCAUCUCCAUUGGCUAAAUUUCAUGACCCACCUUAAGCCUUCACUUCUCUGCAAAAGCAAACACACCCUUGUCCUCCUGACAGAGGCAUAUGAUGUUAGGUGAGAAUGACAAUUUUAAAGCAAUCAUGAAGCAACAGUUUCUCCUGUGAAUAGGGAGUGAUUUGUCAAGAAGAAGGGAUAUACGUUUUCAGAUGGAACCUUCUGAAGAGGAGGAGUGUGUGUGUAUGUGUAAAUACAAGUGUGAACAUGAAGAAAGGAUAAUAAAGUGAAGAGUGGAAAUACACAUAUGUCUAAUGUGUAUACACAUAAAUACAUGGAUACACAUGUCUAAAUGGCCUUCAGUUUUGAGCUGUCUUUCCUUACAUACAGCAAUAAAAAUUUGAUUUUGUGAGAACUUUAUUCUUCCUAACCUUGAAUUUUCUACAGGUAUUGCUCUACACUUUCAGACUUUCAUAUAAUUUUAUAUGUGCAUAUCACUUCUCUGUAUUUACAUUUUUCUAAAGAGAAGUGGUGGCUAGAUGAUAAUCUUUUGGGUUCAUUUCUUUGAGAGAUAGGAAUCAUUAUUCCCUUGUGUGAGCUAUAACCUAGAAUCUCCAAUGACUUUGGGUAACAGUAGAGAUACCCCAUCUCAGUAUGAUAGCUAUUAGUAUAGUAGACAGUAUAUAGAAAAAUAUGCAUGAGAGGAAGCAAGAUUAAACCUUAAUUAUGCCCUUGAAAGAGCCAAAGAGAAAAAUAAUGGACCGAUCUACAAUUGAGUUACAGAAAAUAACAUGCAGUGAUAAUCCUUCAAUCUUUUGGGCAUAUUACACAAAAGUUCAUUUUUGAGUCAGUAAUCACCUGCCAUGUCUAUUUCUCUCUUUUUUUUUUCUUCUCCAAAUCCUGGAUAUUUCGUAUUCUACUUAUUCUGACCCCAGAGCAUUCUCUUUUUUUUCAUCUUCUAUUUCCUUCCACUCUCUAUCCCUUCCCUUGAAAACUAAAAAUGGAAAAAUAAAAGCAAAC